ensembl:lincRNA
CGGACACCUGUUGCUUUUGGAAACAAAACCCUCCGUGUUUCUUUGGGGGCAGUCCAGGACGGCUCCUCAAGGUCCCCACUCCUGCCUAAGGGAGGGGCAGACCUAAACUCAACCAACUUAGUCCUCUGUCUCUGAAGUCUGACUCUUGGUGGGCUAACCUAGGAGCAGAAGAUGAUGGGAACUCAGUUAUACACACGGGGGCCCGGAAAGGCCCGAGAGACCUGUUGCUGCCCCCGCCACUAAGACCCGGAUGUUUCUUCAAGUCCGUCCGCUGCCCCAGGAGCCAACACAGCCCUUUGUGCUUUCAUGAGCUGGGUCUGGUUUCUAUGGCCUGCAAUGAAAGAACCCUAACGAAUGGUGUCACCGGUCAGAGGAGGUCAGGGAAUGCCGUGUAAUGCUACCUGCUGUCGCAGCCCACUGGAACCCUGCUCUGUGUCCUACCCUCCCUGCGCCCCCAGCGGAUGAGGCAGUCACCCCUGCAAUAGUGCAAGUCACUCUUAUCCGAGAGGAAGAAAAGCACCUCAGAGGGCCUCACACUGUCCCCGAAAGGCUCUGGCCUGGACGACCCUUGCCCGUACUCACUGGCCGGAACCAACCAGAAGUCCCAUGACCCCACCCAACCGUGCAGUGCCGGCCUGCAGCGCGGCGGUUGGCCAACAGCACAGAUAGCCCUCAGCGACGUUAAUCCAAUCAUUCAGAUGGACUGGAGCGAUCUGGCAUCCUGUGGUCUGAGAACGUUUUUUGAGGGCUAGUUUGGCAAACCGACCGCUAUUCAAAACAGUGUUCCUGUAAGAAAAUACGUGCCAAGUUCCAAGCAGCUGACUUAUAUAAUAAGUGGAAUGCAAUCUGUUGAGAAAGAGAGCCCAGCAGGGACAGCGGCGAGGCGGGGGGAGGAGGGCAGAAGGAGAGGAAGAGGGAAAAGCAGGCUCCAUCCUGACCAGGGAGUCCGACACAGGGCUGGAUCCCAGGACUGGGAUCCUGACCUGAGCAGAAGGCAGACCCAUAACCAACUGAGCCAUCCAGGUAGGUGCCCCAUCGAAGCAAGUUCUGGUUUGAACAAAAAUGUGUGGUCUCCCAGGCUGCUCGAGCCCCUCCUCACCCAGGCAGAGACAACACACCUAUCUUGCACCUGUUGAGCUCCCAUGCAUCAUGGGUCCACCAGAACUCAGUGUUCCUAGGGCAUCUCGAGCACUUUAUGUAAAUGGGGUGGUGAGGAAGGGCAUUGUCUUUCACAAGCAUCCUCCACUGUCCCACUAGACUUCACUUCUGAAGCCGAAGUUCAAAGAAAAAAAUUCUUAGGAAUUUUGACAUAGUGACAGCAGAGCAUUAAAUCAAACACAACACCCUUCUGAGCCCAGGUCUAGGCAAUUGCAGAGGGCACAGCCAGGAAGCUGACCGUGAUGACAACCGUAUCCUCUCCCCCUAACUUCUGCCACUCUCCUCUCCUGUGUAGCAACUCUGAGUAACACUGCACUAAGAGACAGGAAGUGAGCUUGAGCAAUAGGGCCUGCCAUUGUGUGUUUGCUCCACAGAUAUUGAUCGAGCAUCUACUAUGUGCCAGGCACCGUUGCAAGUGCUGGAGAUAAAACAAUACACAAAACCAAAAGCCCUGGUCUCAUAAAGCUGACCUCCUGGCAGAAGAGACAGCAAACAAAAUGUGUACACAAAAUAAGUAGCCUGGUAGGUGGUAGUAGGUGCUAAGGAAGAAAAGUAAUCAGGGGAGCGGUAGGAAAGAAUGGAUUGAAUGGUGUUCACGGUUAGCCUUUACAGCCAUUUACUGCAAUGGUUCAAGGUAGAGAAAUGGUCAUAGGAGAAGCUGAUGGGGAAAAUGGCGGGUACUGAUCAUUGGAAUAUAGGAAGCUUCCCCAAAGAGGGGACAGAGCUUGUGUUCAUGCUGGACACACCAUACCCCCCAUGUACACACACACACACACACACACACACACACUGCACAGGGUUCCUGAGCAAGGGGGCUUCCUGUCUCUUCCAGUCAAGAUGGUCUAUUGUGUGUCAACACGAAAUGAGGUUCAUUAAAAGAGUUUCCCUGAAUGUAAAGGCAGAACAAAUUAUGAACUCUUGUAGCCCCUGGAAAGUUUAGUAACCCGCAUUUAAAUCAGCUUUUCAGUCGAACCUUUCACAACCAUGGUUAGAUGAACCUGUUGAUUAGGACACUGUAAUUUAAGCCCAAAGUGGUGGGGGUAGGUUUUCCAGUCUUGUGAAUCAGAUAUCCAGUUUGCCUAAGGGAGAGACAGAGGGUGAGGUAGUUUCUGCGGGGCUUUGUUCUGGCAGUUGAACACAGAACAACACCAGACCUUCAAGAACACUGUGCUUGCCAGUCUGUCUUUGAAAACAUCUCUAGAAGCCGUUCAACUGACUAUCCAAGAGAAUUGCUUACUAACCUGAUUAUUUUUUAAAUGAGAUUAAAAGGCAUUUCUUGACCAAUCUAAUACUGGGCAGUAGACAUGAAGAUGGAAAACUUUAGAAAAAACAAAGAUUUCCUCUUUGCCCCUUGCUUUUUGUGAUAUUUGUCUCCUCUUUUAGUAAAUCAGCAAAGAUUACCAGAUGGCUCUCCGGGACCUUGUUUUUGAGUCACUUUUACAUCCUAGGUUCAAAUUCCACUUCUAUUAAUUUUUAAGGCAUCUGGUAGUUUGGAGAGAAGAAAUUGUAUUAUCAUUUCUGUAACUCAAAUGUGGCAACCUUGCAGAAAAAGAAAUCAGGGCCAAAUACGCUGACCAUCAGGACCCAGGGCCACGUCCUGUUGUCACAUCAUCCCCUCUUUAAUUUGAGGAAAGCUGAACUUGAAAGUUAAUGCUUAGCCAGAUCCUCCUGCCUGGUUCUCCACGCAGGCUGGCAAGAGGAUCGGUGCUGGGCAGCCAGCCGGAGAGCAGUUACAGGAGGCUGGGGAGCUACCCACCCCAGGCACAGUUUAUUCUGUGCUCUCAUGCAGAAGGAGGAGGGCUGCUGGGGACACUCGUUACUCAUUCACCACACCCACUCAGAGCCCGGUCUGAAUGGAUUCGUGUUAUUAUUUGUUGGCAGAUUCUGCCCACGUCCCUUCAGGGUAAACCCUGGCAUCUCUGAAGCUGGCUUUGUCUCUCACCCCAUUGUUGGGUUCCAGCUGAGAUUCUGCAUUUUGAGGUCCUUAAAGAACUUUGCAAAGUAGAAGGGACAAGAGAAGAGGCAGUCACACAGGACACACUGGUUGUGCUAUUCGGACCAGUCCAUCCAGUUCUGAGGGACUCCCGCAUCUUGAAUAGAUAAUGAAAGGUUAAUGCGCAGCUGGUCCCCAGUGACUCGCUACCUUAUCCUAACAUGCUGGGUAAAGGGGGGGUUCCUAAGGAGGGCUUACAGAACACAGGGAUGACAGGAAUGACAGCUUUACAGAAAAAUUUACGCUUGCCAAUAUUACACUUACAAGCCAACGUAGGCUCAUUGAUGGUAACGAAGUUACCACUCUGAUGCCCGUGUUUACAGUGGGCCACCUGUGUGUGGUAAGGAGAGGGGACGUAUGGGAACUCCCUGUACUUUCCACUCCAUGUUUCUGUGAACCUAAAACACUUCUAAAAAUAAAGUUCAGGGGCACCUGUGUGGUUCAGUCAUUAAGCAUCUUCCUUUGGCUCUGGUCAUGGUCCUGGGGUCCUGGGAUCGAGCCCCCCAUCGGGUUCCCUGCUCAGUGGGAAGCUUGUUUCUCCCUCUCCCUCAGCCUGCUGCUCCCCCUGCUUGUGUUCACUCUCUGUCUCUCUGUCAAAUAAAUAAAUAAAAUCUUUUUAAAUAAAUAAAUAAAAUAUAAAUAAAGUUCUUUAAAGACUAAAAAAAAAGAAAAAGAGAUCUCCCCGUUCAAAGUAGUUUCAUAGCCCAGCCAUUACCCACAUAUACAAUGAGGAUGAAGUGAAGUGAAAUUAAAUAUCCUUUGUCUUCAGGCAGCAGCUAGUUGGUGUAAUUUAAAAUACAAGUGUUAGAUUUAAAACUGAAAAUCUUAAUAAUUACCAUUAAUUAAACAUUUGGGGUACCCCAAACUAAGCAUUCAUCCCAUGGGCUUCUUAAAAACAGCUCUUGUCAGGAAAAUGCUAUUAUUAUCCCCAUUUCACAGGAGAGGAAACAGGCUUAAACUGGUUUAAAAAAAUUGUGUCUAGUCACACAACCAGUAAGCAAGCAGCUAGGAAAUUAGCAUUAACUCAAGGAAAAGCUGAAGGAGAGGGGAAGUCAUCAAAUAUUUUUUUCCUGAAAGAAAAAAGAAAAACAAAAUAAACACACAAAAUUUUAAUUAAAAAUGAAAAAACCCCACAAACCCUUACUCUCAAGGAUAAACAAGCUGUAGUUGACAAGCUUGGAUGAAGGGGGAAAUAAAAGAGUAAAUACAGGGACAUAGAAAGUGAGUAUCAGAUUCUAAGUAAGAUACAGCUAGUAGGGGGUAGGGUGAAAACAAUUCUUUCAGGAAAAAACAUAGAAGCUAAGUUUGGGGAAAGAAGGUAAAAACAAGUGAGGGAAGGACAUAAGAGAGGAGCGAAAUAAGUAUUUUGAAAGGGUGGGAUAAUCUCAUUUAUAUAACUUACAUAUUAGAAUUAAUUGGUUUCAACAAAAUAAUAGUCCUUGGUGGCAUCAAGUAGGCAAAUGCUUAAAUGCUUAAAU